rnacentral:rRNA from 1 species
AGUAAUGCAUUGGAACGUACCGAGUAGUGGGGGAUAACUAGUCGAAAGAUUAGCUAAUACCGCAUACGCAUUGAGAUGGAAAGCGGGGGAUCUUAGGACCUCGCGCUAUUUGAGCGGCCAAUGUCUGAUUAGCUAGUUGGUGGGGUAAAGGCCUACCAAGGCGACGAUCAGUAGCGGGUCUGAGAGGAUGAUCCGCCACACUGGGACUGAGACACGGCCCAGACUCCUACGGGAGGCAGCAGUGGGGAAUUUUGGACAAUGGGCGAAAGCCUGAUCCAGCCAUGCCGCGUGUCUGAAGAAGGCCUUCGGGUUGUAAAGGACUUUUGUCAGGGAAGGAAAGGUGAUUGCUAAUAUCAGUCGCUGAUGACGGUACCUGAAGAAUAAUCACCGGCUAACUACUUGCCAGCAGCCGCGGUAAUACGUAGGGUGCGAGCGUUAAUCGGAAUUACUGGGCGUAAAGCGAGC